GUAAUAAUGUCAGUCGUAGUUAUGGUUAAAGAGUAACUGAUGAAACUAUGGUUUAAAUAAUAUUAUGAAUAGUUUAAUAUUAUCGAUUAUUACCUAUCUAAUAAUAUUAGUGAUAUAAUAAAAUUGCAGAAUUUUCCAUGUGACCGUCCAAAAAUCGAGGCUUUAUAAUGUGCAUUGUUCCUCAGUAGUUGUUAAUAUUUAUAAUAUAAUAUAAUAUUAAAAUAGUGUAUGAGCCGAGUGCAGCUCCGUGAAUAAUAGAUAUUCUGAAAUAAAAGAGAUACUGUUUGUAUGACGAGAUAACUAGAAACAUGUAUAGAGAUUUCUUGUGUACCCAAGUGGUCAAGUCACCCUAAAAAAUAUAACCGUAUAUUUACAGUAUAGAAACCUAUAUAUUAGAAAAGUCACCACAAGUCCGUGAACAGACUUUAUCUAGCAAGCUGACAAGAAUUAUUUUUUUUCAUGUGAUCCCUGAUGUUACACUAUAAUGUUAUACGCAAUGGUGGGAAGGUUUAAGGAUUGCGACGAGAAAACUACAUUGUCGUGAACAUGGUUAUAAAGCAUGCGUAGUUCAUUUUAGAAGAAUUUCAAGAAUUUGUCGUCGUGGUCGCGUUCAUUCAAUUAUAAUAAUAAUAUGUACAUUGUAGUAUAAAAUAUAAAUUGUACCCAUUACACGCGUGUUGUUACUUGUUUAUUAUCGAUAUU